rnacentral:rRNA from 1 species
AGAGUUUGAUCCUGGCUCAGGAUAAACGCUAGCGGCAGGCCUAACACAUGCAAGUCGAGGGGUAACAGGGUAGCAAUACUGCUGACGACCGGCGCACGGGUGAGUAACGCGUAUGCAAUCUACCUCAAACCGGAAGAUAGCCCGGGGAAACUCGGAUUAAUAUUCCAUAAUAUUGUCGGACCGCAUGGUUUGACAAUUAAAGUUCAGGCGGUUUGAGAUGAGCAUGCGUACCAUUAGGUAGUUGGUAGGGUAACGGCCUACCAAGCCUGUGAUGGUUAUGGGGUCUAAAAGGAUGGUCCCACACACUGGUACUGAGACACGGACCAGACUCCUACGGGAGGCAGCAGUGAGGAAUAUUGGUCAAUGGGCGCAAGCCUGAACCAGCCAUGCCGCGUGCAGGAAGACGGCCCUAAGGGUUGUAAACUGCUUUUAUACGGGAAGAAAAUGGGUUACGUGUAACCUACUGACAGUACCGUAAGAAUAAGGAUCGGCUAACUCCGUGCCAGCAGCCGCGGUAAUACGGAGGAUCCAAGCGUUAUCCGGAUUUAUUAGGUUUAAAGGGUGCGUAGGCGGGCCUAUAAGUCAGUGGUGAAAUCCUUCAGCUUAACUGAAGAACUGCCAUUGAUACUGUUGGUCUUGAGUGCGGUUGAGGUAAGCGGAAUAUGUAAUGUAGCGGUGAGAUGCAUAGAUAUUACAUAGAACACCGAUUGCGAAGGCAGCUUACUAAGCCGCAACUGACGCUGAUGCACGAAAGCGUGGGGAGCGAACAGGAUUAGAUACCCUGGUAGUCCACGCCGUAAACGAUGAUUACUCGUUGUUGGCGAUAUAUUGUCAGCGACUGAGCGAAAGCAUUAAGUAAUCCACCUGGGGAGUACGACCGCAAGGUUGAAACUCAAAGGAAUUGACGGGGGCCCGCACAAGCGGAGGAACAUGUGGUUUAAUUCGAUGAUACGCGAGGAACCUUACCCGGGCUUAAAUUCAGUAUGAUCGACCUUGAAAGGGGUCUUUCCUUCGGGACAUAUUGGAAGGUGCUGCAUGGUUGUCGUCAGCUCGUGCCGUGAGGUGUCGGGUUAAGUCCCAUAACGAGCGCAACCCUCAUCAUUAGUUACCAGCGAGUUAAGUCGGGGACUCUAAUGAGACUGCCACCGUAAGGUGCGAGGAAGGUGGGGAUGACGUCAAAUCAGCACGGCCCUUACGUCCGGGGCUACACACGUGUUACAAUGGUCGGUACAGAGGGCUGCUACCUGGUGGCAGGAUGCUAAUCUCGAAAACCGGUCUUAGUUCGGAUUGAAGUCUGCAACUCGACUUCAUGAAGUUGGAUUCGCUAGUAAUCGCGUAUCAGCAACGACGCGGUGAAUACGUUCCCGGGCCUUGUACACACCGCCCGUCAAGCCAUGGAAGCCGGGGGUACCUGAAGUCUGC